rnacentral:rRNA from 1 species
CCUACGGGUGGCAGCAGUAGGGAAUAUUGCUCAAUGGGGGAAACCCUGAAGCAGCAACGCCGCGUGGAGGAUGAAGGUUUUCGGAUUGUAAACUCCUGUUGUUAGAGAAGAUAAUGACGGUAUCUAACGAAUAAGCACCGGCUAACCCCGUGCCAGCAGCCGCGGUAAUACGGAGGGUGCAAGCGUUACUCGGCAUCACUGGGCGUAAAGAGAGCGUAGGCGGGAUAGCAAGUCAGAUGUGAAAUCCUCUGGCUUAACCAUAGAACUGCAUUUGAAACUGUUAUUCUAGAGUAUGGGAGAGGUAGGUGGAAUUCUAGGUGUAGGGGUAAAAUCCGUAGAGAUCAAGAGGAAUACUCAUUGCGAAGGCAACCUGCUAGAACAUAACUGACGCUGAUGCGCGAAAGCGUGGGGAGCAAACAGGAUUAGAUACCCUUGUAGUC